rnacentral:rRNA from 1 species
GACGAACGCUGGCGGCGUGCUUAAUACAUGCAAGUCGAGCGCGAACAUUCCUUCGGGAAUGCUUGAGCGGCGGACGGGUGAGUAACGCGUGGGCAAUCUGCCCUCUAGCCUGGGAUAACAGUUCGAAAGGACUGCUAACACCGGAUAUGCUCCCAGCCUGGCAUCAGGCGGAGAGGAAAGUUUACACUAGAGGAUGAGCACGCGUCCCAUUAGCUAGUUGGUGAGGUAACGGCCCACCAAGGCGACGAUGGGUAGCCGACCUGAGAGGGUGAACGGCCACACUGGGACUGAGACACGGCCCAGACUCCUACGGGAGGCGGCAGUGGGGAAUAUUGCACAAUGGGCGCAAGCCUGAUGCAGCGACGCCGCGUGAGGGAUGACGGCCUUCGGGUUGUAAACCUCUUUCAGCACCGACGAAGCGCAAGUGACGGUAGGUGCAGAAGAAGGACCGGCCAACUACGUGCCAGCCGCCGCGGUAA